GUGUUUGCUUUGGCAGCACAUAUACUAAAAUUGAAACGAUACAGAGAAGAUUAGCAUGGACACUAAAAAAAGAAUUACUUCACACUGCAACUAUGAGAAUUACU